GGCUUCAAGAGAGAGAGUGGGAGGUUGCUGCUUGGUGUCCACACACUUUUGCCCAUAUAGCGUACUAGCAAGUCAGCCUCUCUCAUUUGAAUGUUUCUGCUUCCAGGACCCCUCCUGUAGACCACUGGGCACUUGUUAGCGGCCUCCCCACCUAUGUGGCUGAAAGUGGUUUUAUUUGUAACAUGAUGAAUGUUGCUGCUGAUGAGUACUUUACAUUCCAGAAAGAAGCUGUGGACGAGUCUGGUUUCCUCAUCAAAAAUGUCCUGUCCCUUCCCAUUGUCAACAAGAAAGAAGAAAUUGUGGGUGUUGCCACUUUCUUCAAUCGGAAAGAUGGCAAGCCAUUCGAUGAGCAGGAUGAACAAAUUACUGAAGU